CACCCCAUUCCUACGCCCCUGCCUUUACUACCUCACCCCCCCCCAAAAAAACCUUAUCUUGAAAUACCAAAACAGAGAAGAGCUUUGACUCUGGCUCAUUGCCAGACUCUCCCCUCAGCCAUCCAGGAAGGUCAUUUCAGAAAUACACCUUAUGAGGAGAGAAAAUGCCCCUGCAGUUCUAGACACAUGGAAACAAUCGAACACAUUCUCUUCCAUUGCCAGUAUUACACAAACGUAUGUGCUAGGUUUAUUCUGCCAAUAGCACACAAAUUUCCAGGACACGCAGGGCAGUUCUAUAUCUCCUUACUGCUCCAAUUCUGUUAUAACAUAUUCAAUUGCCAAAUAUUGUGCUGCCAUGAUUGGCAUACGCCAGAGGAUGGUAUGUGCCACACAGCAGGUCUAAAAUCGAAGGAUUGAUUUACCUGUUUUACAUGUUUUUAUCUUAUGUUUUCAACACUUUUCAACUCUGGCCCCGGCCUGGUGGAACGUUCUGCCUCAUGAGACCAGGGCCCUGCGGGAUCUGAUUUCUUUCUGCAGGGACUGUAAGACAGAGUUGUUCCACCUGGCCUUUGGCUUGGAGCCAAUUUGAUUCCCUCCCCCUCUUUCCUUUUUCCUUUCUCCGUCUGUGAUGGAGCCCCUAUUUGGGGACUUCCCUGGCUUUUCUGGCCCACGUAGGACCAGUCUGGAUAGUUGGUCUUGGUGAAGAUUUGCUGUUUUCUCCCCCCAAACAGUUUUUGAUCUGGGCUUCCACUGAAAUGAGGCUGCAUUUUAAGUAGUAUUUUAAUUUUUAAGUUGUUUUUUUAAUCAAUUUUUUUAAUAGAUGCCCUGAGCCCGGUCUUGGGCGGGGAAGGCGGGGUAUAAAUAAAAUUAAAUAAAUAAAUAAUGUUGGUCUACUGCAUCUGAGAAUACGAGUAGGUAUACCCUCUACCUCUGCAGUUACCUUACUGCCUGUCUAGUAUGUUUUAUUUAUGAUUGGAGGUGCUUUUACCUUAUGCUGGUCUAUGACUGUAAUAAAGAUUUGGAUUGGUUUGGUCCUCUGGCGCAAGGGCUGGACCAAAAGACGUUCACUCUGGUGAUCGCGCACCAAACUUCCUUCCCAUGCGGUGCUGUGGUGUGACUCUGCUGGUGGCCAGAGCGCUGGGCUCUCUGGGUGGGUGAGUGGCACAAGCAGGUGGCAAAUGUGGGGAGGGCAAGGGUGAGCAGCUGGAGUGGGCAGGGGGUAGCAAGGCGGGUGUCCAAAAUUUAGUUAGGAAAAAGUUGAAGCAUAUGCAGCUCCUAGGAUCCAAGGUCCCUUCGCCCUCCCCCCCAAUAAAAUAUUUGAAUAGGCCUGCCCCCCCAAGUUGAUAUGCCUUGCCAUUCAAAUGGUGUGAAUGUGAAUGUGCUGCAUCUUGUGAUUGAUUAUGCAGAGCAGGGCUUACCCCUGCAAGGGAAAUAAUAAUAAUAAUAAUAAUAAUAAUAAUAAUAAUUUAUUUAUACCCCGCCCAUAUGGCUGGGUUUCCCCAGCAACUCUGGGCGGCUUCCAACAAAACACUAAAAUACAAUAACCUAUUAAACAUUAAAAGCUUCCCUAAACAUGUUCUGUCAGGGCACCUGAGCCCAUCAGCUCCCUGAGAGUGAUUUGUGCAAUCAAAAUACCUGAACUGAGUCUUUAAAAGGUAUGUCAAAAAUUCAUUUAUUCCUUCUAUUUAUGCCACCAAGGUCCCGGAGAGUUUUCACAGCAGAACAAAAAGUAUUCAGCAUUAACAGCCAUUAUAUGGUAAUGCUAGAUGAAGGGCAUCGAAUGACUUUUUAGCUUCCUAAUAUGUAGAUGCAGCAGGCUUCACAAGCUCAUGAAAAUGUGAAUUCCAGAAACACAAUUAGGUACAGAUGAAUAUUGUUGACUAUCACCAUUACCCCACCAUUAUUUUCAAUUCUUGGUUUGCAAAGGCUGAGUCAUUAUAAUUGUUAUAGCUGGGAAGGUUUAUUCAUGGAAUUCAUUGUACAGUUCAAAGAGUCCCUCAUUUUCAGAAAAACUUACUGUACUCCUCUGGAAUAUUUAUUGAAGUAAUCAUGGAGAAGAUGGAGUGAUGUGCAAGGAGAGUACAAUUGGAUAUGGUGACAUUGUUAAUUUGCUGUUUUGUAUAUGACUAUUUUAUUUUACUUUACUUUACUACUUAUGUAUAUCAUUUAGAGAGAUUUGUUGCUUAACUGUGUUGUUCCAAAUGUGAAAUUAUUAUUUUUUGCAGUUAUAUCAAAGUUUGUGUCCUUGUGUGUGAUCCUCCUGGAGACUGCAGCUAAGGGUGGAAGGUUAAAUUAUCAUUACUCCAGGAAGAUCAUUCCCUUUUAGCAAUUAGACUUGAAAAUCACUAAGGAGGAGGAGAAGAAAAACUUCAAGCAUAAUUGCUGGGGUCAAGGCAUGCAUGUGAUGGUUCCUGUGUGUGAAUAUGUGUAGGGAUGUAAGCGUGUGAGAUGGCCACACCUACUUUUGUCUUUGCCGCUCCCACUAUUGGCAUGUGGCCCUCAAAGGGCUGAUUUAGAGAGAAUGCAGCCCCCCCCCCCACCUCAGUAUGCAAAACACCCCCCUCUCCCUAUUAUAUGGGAUUGAAUAAUUGAGGCUACCCGCUUGGUGAUUUGAUAGAAACCAGGUCUCUGAGAAGUGGAACUAAUGGGAUAGUGAUUCAUAACUGACCCUUUAAUUAAUUUAUCUCUAAGCAUCUAACUGUAACAGCUGCCACUGACAUUCUUCUUAAUCACUUCCAACCAUUCACAGGCAUUACGGUAAAUGGAGAAAAGUUUCUGUGCUGUUAUUUUUAAAUUGUUUAUUCUCAAUGAAACAACUGCCAAAGAUGAUUUGUACAUAUCUCUUAGACUGGAUGCAAUGGCUUAUGGCACCAUAAUGUACAAAAGGGGGAGGAGAGGUUAAUUUGCCCCACCAGAAAAAAACAUUUCUGGCUGUUUAACUAAGACCUAUUUGAGGAAGCACAAAUGCUUAGGGAUGCCUUGGUUUCUGCAGCAUCUUGCAGGGUUCACACACACACACACACACACACACACAAAAAACCAGGUGUUCAAAGAACAUAUGAGGGAAAUUGCACAACUAUGAGGGCUAGUUCCACUCUUUGGGAUGGACAAAUCUGUUCAUUUCCAAUCCAUUCCUCUCAUUUUCUUGUUCCAUUAUUGAAAUCAGCUCUCCACAGUUUUAUUUGUUUAUUUAUGUUAAAGUCCACAUAAAAAAUCAUCCGCAUCUUAGUGCAAUAAUAAAUACAUCAUUGAAUGCAAUUUUGUGAGAGAGACAAAUUUUUGCAAGAAAUGUACUGUAACAUUUAUAUGUUAUUUUCAUUAAAUAUAUAUGUUGUUAUAUGUGGUUUUACACAACAGGCACAUCACCAAAUUCAAAGAAGAACAGAUUUUCACGGGUAGCACGUGUGUGUGUGUGUGUGUGUGUGUGUGUGUGUGUGUUCAUGUAUUGUUUUGGGAAGUGCAUUAAAAACCAAACUGAGCCAAAUAUCUCCCCCAUCCCUAUCCACUGCUGGUACUGAAGCAUGCAGUAGCCAUGCACACAGUUGCUGGCCGCACAGUCACCAUCCCAUCAACACUAAUACCGACUCUGCAUUUGACCCAUGUAUGCAGGAGCUAAUGGGUGCACACAGAGUUCCUCUAAGCAAGAGGGGUUUGGACCAGGGAGGAAAAAUUAGAAGCUUAUAUUGAGGUAUAAACUGCCAUACUAUAUAAGACUUUGGGUUGAUAGAAUUAACUCAGGUUGAGUACCACAGAGAACAUGGGGUCCACUUUACUUUACUGGAACCACGUGAAACUGUCUGACAGUGUUGAUAUGAUUUUAUAAUAUAUUUUGAUUUAUUUUACAGUACAUUGCAUUUUGGUCUAUACCAAAUACCACAGUUUGCAUCAGGAGUCCCCCACUUGGUACUCUCCAGAUGUUUUGGACUUCAUCAGCUCCAUCAGCUUGACAAGGCCAGUUGUCUGGGAUGAUGGGACCUAGAGCCCAACAACAUCUGCCCCAGGUUGGAGAAGGCUGGUUUUGGAUGAUAUAUUGUUAUGUUUGCUGUGCGUGUG